GAUUUCUGGUUCGCUCACACAGAUCAACAAGGUGGUGGUGGUCAGUGUAUGGCGCCCCAAGACAAUCUGCCUGUUCCCGGUCUCUGUAGUGUAUUUAGUUCUGGGUAAUGUCGUCAUCUCCCUGCGACUGUGAAACCUCGAGAUAGACUUCAGCUGCCCGAUGAUUGCUGUCGCUUGCCACAAACAGAUUGACCUUGCUUGGUGCCUGAGAGGACGCAUCUUAAAAGUUUCUCAGGGGAAGAUAGACAAAAUUCCACGACACCCCCCAUCUCCUUAAAAUGACAUUUAUAUGAAACUAAAUCGGAGCAGUGAUGACAUUUUAGAUGACAAAUAAUUGCGACUGGAUUUUCAUUUUCUAUUGACAUGAUGAGAAUAUGCCGAUUCUGAACAUAUGAGUAAAAUGUUUAAAUGUCGGGAGCGCGGAAUGAAGAAAUAAAGCACGAUGGGUCAGUGAAUGGUUUGGUUUGAUACAUUCACGUUUGCGACCAAUAAGAUUAGAGACACAAUCUAAAAUUUUGUCACCAUACGGUUGGAAUGACGUGUUGAUGCCGUCAUAAUAAAAUGGCAUUAUUGCAAUAUAAAAAAAAAUUGUAUAACCUGAUUGGGGUAUAUACAAUUCUUUGAACUCCCUGUGCAUCAAUUACGACCGGCAACUUCAUUUACUUUACAGACAGUCAUUUGAUCCAACCCAUUUCAUUUCUGAAUCCAAGCCAGCAACCAUUAAGGAUCGGAUCCACCCAUAACCCUUUGGCAGCACCUGGUGGCCUUUGCCUCUGCAGUGCCACUGUAUUAUACUGUAAACGAGUGACUUGCAACAGCCUCCAACAGUUUUCUGCUGGUGGGAAACACCUUCACUGCUGGGGUCAGAAAGUGGGUCUGAAGCUAGGAGUGAUGAAUUGAUGAAGACUGGAAGAGAGGAUUUGGUAUAGUGCUGAGAGAGAUUGCUAAGGGAGGAAAAUGAGAAACGUGCUGUGUCGAUAACGCUGCUUGAAUUUAAUUGGAAAACCAGGUUGAGGGAGGUAGACGCUCAAGAGAAGCUCAGAGACCCGGGGAAAGUGAACCGGAUGCAGGCAGCCACAUGUAGGCCGUGUAAAAACUACCCCACUGCCUCUCCGGUGCAUAUGUUCGCGCUGGGGGAACAAAGCCGGCAGGAACGAACAAAGACAGAGAUUGAGAAUGACAGUGAGAGAGCGGACGACAGAAAGAGACAGAGGGACGAGAGGGAGAGAGUGAGGCGGAGGGAAAGACUGAAAACAACCAACAGGCAUAACAAGAGAAGACACCACCACAGCAUCCCAAGCAUGCGCGGGGAACAUAAGAUGAUACACUGCAUACGUGGUACUUUCUGACCCUCGCAUCGUGGAGAGAGUGAUGAAUACGCUGCGAGAUCACCUCCUCCGGGGAAUAUAGCUUCCAAGGGAAGAAAAAAAGAACAAGAGAAUGUUCACGAUGAAGAAACAAGCUCUGUUCACGAGGGAGGGAGCAUACGAAGGUGCAUGCAUGGAUUGUGUGGCAAGCAAAACACACGUGCAUGUACAGAAAAGCUGAAACAGGCAGCUGCGGUCUUUUGAUGUGUUUGAUAUGACACCUUCAAAGGCACAGCCACGGGGCGAGCCAGGGAAGCAGCAACAACAAAGGGGGAGAACGCGGAGUGCAGAUGCAGUGAUGGAGACAGAAGGAAGGAAGGAACAAUGGAACGAUGGAGGGUGUGGAGUAGGAGUGAAAGUAGGAGUGAAAAUCCUGGAGAUGGUUGCUUUGUCUUGUGGCCGAUGAUUUGGCACCGAUCUACUGUGCCGCUGUCAAACUGGUGGAGUGUCGACUAGUGCGAGGCUCAUCCCGGGAGAGCAUCCGACAUCGUUUGUCGCUGUAAGUGAAUGUAAGACACUCCUGUCUUGCACUCUGCUGCGGUGCCGUAGAGCACUGGUCACCUCAUUUAGCUGAAUGGGGAGGCUAAACGCCUCUGGUGUCAUGUUAGAGGCUUCCGCUGCUCGGGGGUAUGCUGCUUUUAGUUAUCCCGGGUGUCCCAGAACAGUUUUUGAGGUGACACCAAGCUUGCUGGUGUUAGCAGUUGCUACAUAUCCUGACCUUCCCCUCUUGGAUGGCCGAACCCUCCAGCUGCCCAUCAGGAACAAACAAGAGACUCUGCAGUAUGUCCGAGUACAUAUACUGUACAGCAUGUGGCGCUUAUCGGUUCAGCAGCCUGAUGUUUUCCCUCCUGUGGGUAGUGAGGGGUCUUUUCCCUAACUUCCAAAACGUCUCCAAGGUGAAGACCAAUCCACUCUUUAAUCCCAGCCUCGAUGCUUUUCGGUCCCCCAAAGAUAACUUGUCUGUCCGGCCUCCCCUCUCUGACCCCGGUUCCAGAAACCUUUCGGGAUCUGAGGGGUGGAGCAAAUUGACCCUUUUCGUACCACUGUGGUGCUACUUAGCUCGGUCCCCAAAGCUUUCAGUCUUCUCCAGAACACCUUGCACCUGCCGAAGGCACCGGCAUUCAGACUUCGGACAAUUUUAACUGAUCAGUGCUACUUCGAAAUCCAGCAAAUAGCAGUCUCAAAAUUGGUGCAUGCUUCUGUUUUUGGCUGCCUUCAUGUUCUUCAUUUACUGUGGACUGAUAAACAAUGAAUACUCCAA